rnacentral:rRNA from 1 species
GACGUAGGGUGCAAGCGUUGUCCGGAAUUAUUGGGCGUAAAGAGCUUGUAGGCGGUUUGUCGCGUCUGCUGUGAAAUUUCGGGGCUCAACCCCGAACUUGCAGUGGGUACGGGCAGACUAGAGUGAGGUAGGGGAGACUGGAAUUCCUGGUGUAGCGGUGAAAUGCGCAGAUAUCAGGAGGAACACCGAUGGCGAAGGCAGGUCUCUGGGCCAUAACUGACGCUGAGAAGCGAAAGCAUGGGGAGCGAACAGG